GGGCAGAAACAAUCACCUCUGAGAAGACAGUAAAGCUUCGUUGAGACAUUUUGAAUCGAUCCAUAUCUCCAACACAGCCACGCACUUGGAAGGAUUAAGGAGGGAAGACUGACUGUAAUAUGCAGGCUUUAUGUUUUGUUGUUGGGGCCCGGGCUCAGGUCUGCAUGCAUGGUGGAUGCUUUACCUCUGUUCCACCUGCCGAGCCCUGUCUGUGUUCUGAGACAGGUUCAUAAGUGUUGCAGCUUGGCUUGACUGGGCAGUCACUCUCCUCCAGUCUCCAGAAUAACUAAGAUUAAAAGCCUGUGUCACCAGACCUG
rnacentral:lncRNA from 1 species